AAUUUUUUUUUUUCAUGAAGAAUUUUGUUAUGUGAUGUCUAAAGAGAUUCCUCUCAUUAGAAAAAAUGUGUGUUUAUUAAUAAUUAAGGAUAUCCAACCUCAUAUAUUGAGCCUCUCUUAUCCCUUUGCUGUUGUUUUGUAUAAUUACUUGAUGCUCAUAUAUAUUUAUUAAAGUGAAAUAGAUAAUUAUGUGAACUGAUAAAGUUGCUGUCAUAUGAUUCGUAAAACAGGAGAAGAGAAUCUCAAAGUAUGGGGCAAAGAAUGUUGCGUUUUGACUUUGUCUCCCGGGAUCCACCACAGGUUGGGUUCGAGAGCCGUGUGAUGGGUGACUAUCCAGUCCGUACGGUUCGGAGAGAACUUUUAGUCUGCGCAAGUCGUGGUCUGAUAUUUCACCAAGCCACUAUACAUUUUUACCCUUACAUAGGACUUGAUCUCAGAGGGGCUGCUGUUACUCUUGAGGGAGUCCAGGGAGUUGAACUUAGUGAAAUUAUGCGAAAGGAUGGAUUCAUCAAUUCCACAAGUUUUUUUUCUUCUUGAAGUGGAGAAAUUUGAGGGCAGUUAAAGCAAUGAAUUUCAUUAACAAGUGUUUAUAUUUGUAGCUUUAAUUCUCCUUCUGGUUGUAAGGCGGUGGUAAAUUGUCCCCGUUGAAGUGAAUUUAUGAAUCGUGCAAUUUAUAAACCCUAUUCAAGCAUUCCUAAAGUACCUUUUUGUUCUGUAAAAAGGAGAAUAGGAGGCAAGAAUAAGGAUUUUGGAAGAAGAUGGAGGAUAAAGAAAAGUCACGUGCCAAGAGAAAAGUUUCGUUAAUUAUAGACGGUAAUAGUGACAGAGGAAUGUCUUUGAUCAACUUUGAGAAACUUGAAGAAUGUUUUAGGUUAGUACGAUAUUAUAGGGAUGUCUUUGAUCAACUUUGAGAAACUUAAAGGAUGUUUUAGAUUAAGUACGAUAUUAUAGGGAUGUCUUUGAUCAACUUUGAGAAACUUAAAGGAUGUUUUAGAUUAAGUACGAUAUUAUAGGGAUGUAAUAAAAGUUAUGGUGAAACAUAAGGGAUGAUUUGGGUCAAAAUCUCAAAUAUCAUCCUAGCUAGUGGACCACUCAAUGACUCAAACUUGUAUGUUUCUGAUGAUAUAAAUAAGACAUGUCUUUUUGUGUAUA